rnacentral:rRNA from 1 species
UUUAAUUAAUAUCUUGUUUGAAAGGUUUCAUGAAAUAAAAUCUUUUUUAAUUUUUAAUAUUUAAUUUUAUUUUUUAGUUAAAAAGCUAAAAUUUUAAUAAGGGACGAGAAGACCCUAUAGAAUUUAAUAGUUUUUUAAUAUUUAUUAUUGUUUAUAAUUUUUUAAUACAAUAUUAAAAAAUUAUUUUAUUGGGGCGAUAGUUAAAUUUAUUUAACUUUAUAUUUUUUUUAUUCAAUUAUUUUUGUUUAAAUGAUCUUUUAUUAUUGAUUAUAAGAUUAAAUUACCUUAGGGAUAACAGCACAAUAAUAUUAAGAAGUACUUAUUUUUAAUAAUGUUUGU